UCCAUUGGACAGUUCAGGUCUGACUGCUGGGAAAUCUACAUACUGCUUACACUCACAUCUCAUUGGGCAGAAAUUAGUCACAAGCUCAUACAACUUGCAAGGGAUGCUGGGGAAUUCAGACAAAAUCUCUAAAGUAGCAGUGAUGGCAGCCAGCAACCUCUGACUUGGACAAACUGGAAGCUGUAACGAUCUAAGACUCAGGAUGCAACACAGGAAGAAAGAAAGUUCCAGAGAGAAGGGAACGGAAUUGAUGCCAUACUGCACCUGAAACCUGCAGAGAACCCUGGCAUUUUAUACUUACCAUCACAUGGUUCUGUUGAGACCCAGCACUCAGCGUAUGCCUGGCUUGUGGCAGUCCCUCUGCAAACAUUUGUUGGACAAAUAUAUGAAUGAGUUAAGCCUCUUAGUUGAAAAGAAACGAACAGGAACUCAGACACAUCAUUCAUUCAUUCAUCAAAUAUUUGUGCAGUGAGUACUCUAGGCACUGAGCACUCAAC
rnacentral:lncRNA from 1 species